rnacentral:misc_RNA from 1 species
AACUGAUACUACCUGCGGGAACCUGCGGAGGGAUCAUUAUUGAAUUGUUAGGAUGCUCUCUUUAGAGGUCCGACCCUUUCAUUUCUCACACUGUGCAUCACACUACUUUUUACACAUACACUUUAUUAACACGUUCAGUAUAUAAUAAUGUAUAUCAAGUCUCUUAAUUGAGCAAUAAAUUAGUAAAACUUUCAACAACGGAUCUCU